rnacentral:rRNA from 1 species
UGAAGAGUUUGAUCCUGGCUCAGAUUGAACGCUGGCGGCAUGCCUUACACAUGCAAGUCGAACGGCAGCACGGGGGCAACCCUGGUGGCGAGUGGCGAACGGGUGAGUAAUACAUCGGAACGUGUCCUGUAGUGGGGGAUAGCCCGGCGAAAGCCGGAUUAAUACCGCAUACGCUCUACGGAGGAAAGGGGGGGAUCUCAGGACCUCCCGCUACAGGGGCGGCCGAUGGCAGAUUAGCUAGUUGGUGGGGUAAAGGCCUACCAAGGCGACGAUCUGUAGCUGGUCUGAGAGGACGACCAGCCACACUGGGACUGAGACACGGCCCAGACUCCUACGGGAGGCAGCAGUGGGGAAUUUUGGACAAUGGGCGAAAGCCUGAUCCAGCAAUGCCGCGUGUGUGAAGAAGGCCUUCGGGUUGUAAAGCACUUUUGUCCGGAAAGAAAACCUCCGCCCUAAUAUGGUGGGGGGAUGACGGUACCGGAAGAAUAAGCACCGGCUAACUACGUGCCAGCAGCCGCGGUAAUACGUAGGGUGCAAGCGUUAAUCGGAAUUACUGGGCGUAAAGCGUGCGCAGGCGGUCCGCUAAGACAGAUGUGAAAUCCCCGGGCUUAACCUGGGAACUGCAUUUGUGACUGGCGGGCUAGAGUAUGGCAGAGGGGGGUAGAAUUCCACGUGUAGCAGUGAAAUGCGUAGAGAUGUGGAGGAAUACCGAUGGCGAAGGCAGCCCCCUGGGCCAAUACUGACGCUCAUGCACGAAAGCGUGGGGAGCAAACAGGAUUAGAUACCCUGGUAGUCCACGCCCUAAACGAUGUCAACUAGUUGUUGGGGAUUCAUUUCCUUAGUAACGUAGCUAACGCGUGAAGUUGACCGCCUGGGGAGUACGGUCGCAAGAUUAAAACUCAAAGGAAUUGACGGGGACCCGCACAAGCGGUGGAUGAUGUGGAUUAAUUCGAUGCAACGCGAAAAACCUUACCUACCCUUGACAUGUAUG